rnacentral:lncRNA from 1 species
GAGUAUUGCUCAUUGUGUUUUUGCUUCCUGUAAAUAUAUUUAUCCAGUUAGUGAGCAUGAAAAUAAAAAGCCAAGAAAACUGGUGUGAAUGUUGAAGAUGCAUGCAAUAAAAUUAACAAUAAACAUAUCUUCUUGAAUAUAUAGUUUUGAAUACCUAACACGCAGAACCUUUCUCCAAGUUUGUUUAAUGUGAGAAAUGUCAUGUGUCAUCAAUUCCCUACGUGCGUUUUUGUAGUUCCAACUAUAAGAAUUUCAAUUAGUAACAAUGUGGUUAAUUACCAUACCUAAAAGGAAAGAAAAUAAGAAGAGUUUAAGAGUACAAACUGUGCUUGUUUCUUUUUCUUCCACUCUUUUAGAAUCAGAUUACUGAGAUCAACGGUGUUCAUUGUCACUGAUAUUCCCUUGCGCCAACCACAUGAAAAUAAAGAAACAUGCCGCCUGAAGCCAUCGCCUAUUUGUAGCUUCUUCUCUAGUUGAGAGCUUCCAUGUCGCAGUACUUC